rnacentral:tRNA from 1 species
GGGGUGGUGGCGCAGUUGGCUAGCGCGUAGGUCCCAGCUGGAAAUGCGAGUGAUCCUGAGGUCGAGAGUUCAAGCCUCUCUCACACCA